rnacentral:lncRNA from 1 species
CUGUUUUACGUUGAAAAUGGACAUGAUCUGAAUUAAUCAUACAGAAUUUUUUAGUGACGUUCUAUUUCAGUACCCUGCCAUUGUCCCUAGUGUGCUGUCCGUGUGCAUUCGAUCUGAAACAGUUGCUACUUUGCUGUCAAAACAUUUCGAAUGUUUACAUGAAAAUAAAGACAAGUCAUGCAUUUUAUAACCUCGUAAACUGUAUGAGCCCCUAUUUUUACGCUUAUACCUAAGAUAUCAAAUAAAAAUACAUGAAACAGAGAACAUUUUUAGAAAG